CCCUUAGAUGUUCUGGGCUGCACGCGCGCUACACUGAAGCGUUCAACGAGUAUUCACCUUGCCCGGGAGGGUUGGGUAAUCUUUUGAAAACGCUUCGUGAUGGGGAUAGAUUAUUGCAAUUAUUAAUCUUCAACGAGGAAUUCCUAGUAAGCGCGAGUCAUCAGCUCGUGCUGAUUACGUCCCUGCCCUUUGUACACACCGCCCGUCGCACCUACCGAUUGAAUGGUCCGGUGAACUGUCAGGAUGGCGGCUUGGUCGCUUGCGUCCGACUGCUGAAACUUGAUUAAACCAUAUCAUUUAGAGGAAGGUGAAGUCGUAACA
rnacentral:rRNA from 1 species